AUUGAACGCUGGCGGCAUGCCUUACACAUGCAAGUCGAACGGUAACGGGCCUUCGGGUGCCGACGAGUGGCGAACGGGUGAGUAAUGUAUCGGAACGUACCUUUCAGUGGGGGAUAACGUAGCGAAAGUUACGCUAAUACCGCAUAUUCUGUGAGCAGGAAAGCAGGGGAUCGCAAGACCUUGCGCUGAUUGAGCGGCCGAUAUCAGAUUAGCUAGUUGGUGAGGUAAAGGCUCACCAAGGCGACGAUCUGUAGCGGGUCUGAGAGGAUGAUCCGCCACACUGGAACUGAGACACGGUCCAGACUCCUACGGGAGGCAGCAGUGGGGAAUUUUGGACAAUGGGGGCAACCCUGAUCCAGCCAUGCCGCGUGCGGGAAGAAGGCC
rnacentral:rRNA from 1 species